GGUCGUACUCCCCAGGCGGUGUGUUUAUCGGUUUCCUGCGACACUGAAAAUAAAUUUCCAACGUCUAACACACAUCGUUUACGGCAUGGACUACGAGGGUAUCUAAUCCUCUUCGCUACCCAUGCUUUCGUUCCUCAGUGUCAGUAAUGAUCCAGAAAGCUGCCUUCGCAAUUGGUAUUCUUUCUAAUAUCUACGAAUUUCACCUCUACACUAGAAAUUCUGCUUUCCUCUAUCAUACUCUAGCUGAAAAGUUUUGAUGGCAGUUCCAGAGUUAAGCUCUGGGAUUUCACCACCAACUUUUUCAACCACCUACGAACUCUUUAAGCCCAGUAAUUCCGAACUACGCUAGGUCCCUUCGUAUUACCGCGGCUGCUGGCACGAAGUUAGCCGGACCUUCUUAUUCGGGUACAGUCAUUUUCUUCCCCGACGAAAGAGCUUUACAACCCAAAGGCCUUCUUCACUCACGCGGCAUCGCUGCAUCAGAGUUUCCUCCAUUGUGCAAGAUUCCCCACUGCUGCCUCCCGUAGGAGUUUGGGCCGUGUCUCAGUCCCAAUGUGGCUGAUCAUCCUCUCAAAUCAGCUAUUGAUCAUCGUCUUGGUAGGCCAUUACCCUACCAACAAACUAAUCAAGUGCGGGCUCAUCCAAUGGUGCAUAAAGCUUUCUCCGUAAAGACUUAUCCGGUAUUAGCACAAGUUUCCUCGUGUUAUUCCAGGCCAAAGGGUAGAUACCCACAUGUUACUCACCCGUCUGCCACUAAGUAUUGCUACUUCGUUCGACUUGCAUGUGUUAGGCGUGCCGCCAGCGUACGUUCUGAGCCAGGAUCAAACUCU
rnacentral:rRNA from 1 species